rnacentral:rRNA from 1 species
GAUGAACGCUGGCGGCGUGCCUAAUACAUGCAAGUCGAGCGAACAGACGAGGAGCUUGCUCCUCUGACGUUAGCGGCGGACGGGUGAGUAACACGUGGAUAACCUACCUAUAAGACUGGGAUAACUUCGGGAAACCGGAGCUAAUACCGGAUAAUAUAUUGAACCGCAUGGUUCAAUAGUGAAAGACGGUUUUGCUGUCACUUAUAGAUGGAUCCGCGCCGCAUUAGCUAGUUGGUAAGGUAACGGCUUACCAAGGCGACGAUGCGUAGCGGACCUGAGAGGGUGAUCGGCCACACUGGAACUGAGACACGGUCCAGACUCCUACGGGAGGCAGCAGUAGGGAAUCUUCCGCAAUGGGCGAAAGCCUGACGGAGCAACGCCGCGUGAGUGAUGAAGGUCUUCGGAUCGUAAAACUCUGUUAUUAGGGAAGAACAAAUGUGUAAGUAACUAUGCACGUCUUGACGGUACCUAAUCAGAAAGCCACGGCUAACUACGUG